rnacentral:rRNA from 1 species
GACGAACGCUGGCGGCGUGCUUAACACAUGCAAGUCGAACGGAAAGGCCCUGCUUUUGUGGGGUGCUCGAGUGGCGAACGGGUGAGUAACACGUGAGUAACCUGCCCUUGACUUUGGGAUAACUUCAGGAAACUGGGGCUAAUACCGGAUAGGAGCUCCUGCUGCAUGGUGGGGGUUGGAAAGUUUCGGCGGUUGGGGAUGGACUCGCGGCUUAUCAGCUUGUUGGUGGGGUAGUGGCUUACCAAGGCUUUGACGGGUAGCCGGCCUGAGAGGGUGACGGGACAAGGUGGGAGUGAGGUAGGGCAGGGAGCCCGACGGGAGGAAGCAGUGGGGGAGGUGGAGUGGUGGGCGGAGGAGGGAUGAAGCAGAGGAGAGGGUGGGGUGAAGGGAUUGGGGUUGGAAAGAACAGGAGCCUCUGGCGAAGCGUGAGCGACGGUAAUGGGAAGAGAAGAACUGGCUAACUACGUC